rnacentral:rRNA from 1 species
UACGUAGGGGGCAAGCGUUGUCCGGAAUCAUUGGGCGUAAAGAGCGUGUAGGCGGACUUAAAGGUCUGGUGUGAAAGCCCGGGGCUCAACCCCGGAGGGUCACUGGAAACCAUAAGUCUUGAAUCUGGAAGAGGAGAGUGGAAUUCCUGGUGUAGCGGUGGAAUGCGCAGAUAUCAGGAGGAACACCAAUGGCGAAGGCAGCUCUCUGGUAACAUGAUUGACGCUGAGACGCGAAAGCGUGGGGAGCGAACAGG